rnacentral:tRNA from 1 species
GCCGGGGUGGCGGAAUUGGUAGACGCGUUGGACUUAAAAUCCAAUGGUUAGCAAUGAUCGUGCCGGUUCGAUUCCGGCCCUCGGCA